GCCAUGCCGCGUGUGUGAAGAAGGCCUUCGGGUUGUAAAGCACUUUCAGUCGUGAGGAAGGCGGUGUAGUUAAUAGCUGCAUCGUUUGACGUUAGCGACAGAAGAAGCACCGGCUAACUCCGUGCCAGCAGCCGCGGUAAUACGGAGGGUGCGAGCGUUAAUCGGAAUUACUGGGCGUAAAGCGCAUGCAGGUGGUUUGUUAAGUCAGAUGUGAAAGCCCGGGGCUCAACCUCGGAAUUGCAUUUGAAACUGGCAGACUAGAGUACUGUAGAGGGGGGUAGAAUUUCAGGUGUAGCGGUGAAAUGCGUAGAGAUCUGAAGGAAUACCGGUGGCGAAGGCGGCCCCCUGGACAGAUACUGACACUCAGAUGCGAAAGCGUGGGGAGCAAACAGGAUUAGAUACCCUGGUAGUCCACGCCGUAAACGAUGUCUACUUGGAGGUUGUGGCCUUGAGCCGUGGCUUUCGGAGCUAACGCGUUAAGUAGACCGCCUGGGGAGUACGGUCGCAAGAUUAAAACUCAAAUGAAUUGACGGGGGCCCGCACAAGCGGUGGAGCAUGUGGUUUAAUUCGAUGCAACGCGAAGAACCUUACCUACUCUUGACAUCCAGAGAACUUUCCAGAGAUGGAUUGGUGCCUUCGGGAACUCUGAGACAGGUGCUGCAUGGCUGUCGUCAGCUCGUGUUGUGAAAUGUUGGGUUAAGUCCCGCAACGAGCGCAACCCUUAUCCUUGUUUGCCAGCGAGUAAUGUCGGGAACU
rnacentral:rRNA from 1 species